UACAGAGGUCUCAAGCGUUGUUCGGAUUCAUUGGGCGUAAAGGGUGCGUAGGUGGUGAUGCAAGUCUGGUGUGAAAUCUCGGAGCUCAACUCCGAAAUUGCACCGGAUACUGCGUGACUCGAGGACUGUAGAGGAGAUCGGAAUUCACGGUGUAGCAGUGAAAUGCGUAGAUAUCAGGAGGAACACCGGUGGCGAAGGCGCCACUCUGGGCCGAAACUGACGCUGAGGAGCGAAAGCGUGGGUAGCAAACAGG
rnacentral:rRNA from 1 species